rnacentral:rRNA from 1 species
GCUCGGAAAUGGUGGUCCAAGCCCGUAGGGGGCUCUGGCAGGUAAAUCCGCCGGGGCAUAUACCCUGAAAGGUGAUGGGACGCAGAGGCUUAGGCCAAUGUUGAUUGAUUGAUGCUCGGCUGCCGAGAAAAGCUUCUAGGUGAGUCAUAUGAGCGACCGUACCUUAAACCGACACAGGUGGGAGGGUAGAAUAUACCAAGGCGCGCGAGAGAAACCUCGUUAAGGAACUCGCAAUCUAGCCCCGUAUCUUCGGUAGAAGGGGUCCUCCCCGACGUCAGAGUAAAAUCAAAGCGUUGGAGAGGCGCAGUGAAUGGGCUCAAGCGACUGUUUAACAAAAACACAGCACUCUGCAAACUCGUAAGAGGACGUAUAGGGUGUGACACGUGACCAAUGCGGAAAGGUUAAGGCAAGUGGUUAGCCGCAAGGCGAAGCUACGACCCGAAGCCCCCGUGAAUGUCGGCCGUAACUAUAACGGUCCUAAGGUAGCGAAAUUCCUUGUCGGGUAAGUUCCGACCUGCACGAAUCGUGUAACGACUUGAGCGCUGUCUCAACGAGGAUCUCGGUGAAAUUGUAGUUCAGAGGAAAGUGUCUGAUACCCGCAGUAGGACGGAAAGACCCUGUGAACCUUUACUGUAAUCUGAUAUUGGGUUCUGGUUCUUCAUAUGUAGCAUAGCUGGGAGGCAUCGAAGCUUGGCCGUCAGGUCAGGUGGAGCCAUCAGUGAAAUACCAGUUUUGAGGCAUCGGCAUUCUAACCCAAUCCGUAAUCCGGAUUGGAGACAGUGUCAGAGGGUCAGUUUGACUGGGGCGGUUUCCUCCAAAAGAGUAACGGAGGAGCGCGAAGGUCCCCUCAGCACGGUCGGCAAUCGUGCGUAGAGCGUAUAGGUAUAAGGGGGCUUGACUGCGAGACUUACAAGUCGAGCAGGUGCGAAAGCAGGCCUAAAUGAUCCGGUGGUAGCAAGUGGUAGCGCCAUCGCUCAACGGACAAAAGGUACUCCGGGGAUAACAGGCUGAUCGCUGCCAAGAGUCCAUAUCGACGCAGCGGUUUGGCACCUCGAUGUCGGCUCAUCGCAUCCUGGGGCUGGAGAAGGUCCCAAGGGUUUGGCUGUUCGCCAAUUAAAGCGGUACGCGAGCUGGGUUCAGAACGUCGUGAGACAGUUCGGUCCUUAUCCACUGUGGGCGUAGGAGAUUUGAGGAGAGCAUUCCUUAGUACGAGAGGACCGGGAAUGACGUACCUCUGGUGUUCCGGUUGUCCUGCCAAGGGCAUUGCCGGGUAGCUAUGUACGGAACGGAUAAGCGCUGAAAGCAUCUAAGCGCCAAGCCCACUCCGAGAUAAGAUCUCCCCUCCGCAAGGAGCUAAAGGCCGGUUGAAGACUACAACCUUGAUAGGCCAGGUGUGUACGUGCAGCAAUGCACUCAGCUAACUGGUACUAAUCGGCCGUGCGGCUUGAC